rnacentral:snoRNA from 1 species
CGCUUUUUAUGAUGAGAUAUCAUAUAGUUAUCCCUGUCAGAACUAUAACUAUAAUGUUGAGAUGAACACACUCUGAAAACUCA